rnacentral:rRNA from 1 species
CCUACGGGAGGCAGCAGUGGGGAAUAUUGCGCAAUGGGCGAAAGCCUGAACCAGCCAAGUCGCGUGAGGGAUGAAGGCUCUAUGGAUCGUAAACCUCUUUUAUAAGGGAAUAAAGUGUGGGACGUGUCCUAUUUUGUAUGUACCUUAUGAAUAAGGAUCGGCUAACUCCGUGCCAGCAGCCGCGGUAAUACGGAGGAUCCGAGCGUUAUCCGGAUUUAUUGGGUUUAAAGGGUGCGUAGGCGGACUUUUAAGUCAGCUGUGAAAGUCUGUGGCUCAACCCUAAAAUUGCCGUUGAAACUGGGGGGCUUGAGUAUGUCAGAGGUAGGCGGAAUGCGUGGUGUAGCGGUGAAAUGCUUAGAUAUCACGCAGAACCCCGAUUGCGAAGGCAGCCUAC